rnacentral:rRNA from 1 species
UACGUAGGUGGCAAGCGUUUGUCCGGAUUUACUGGGCGUAAAGAGCGCGCAGGCGGUCGGAUAAGUCGAAUGUGAAAGCCCCCGGCUCAACUGGGGAGGGUCAUUCGAUACUGUUCGACUCGAAGGCAGGAGAGGGAAGUGGAAUUCCCGGUGUAGUGGUGAAAUGCGCAGAUAUCAGGAAGAACACCAAUGGCGAAGGCAGCUCUCUGGGACGGUACUGACGCUGAGACGCGAAAGCGUGGGGAGCGAACAGG